CACUGCUGCAAGCUCUGCGCACCCAAGUACCACGAGCUAAGGCUUUCAAAAACUCGCCGUGAAAAACCAUAUUGAGAAGAAACACCCAACCCGUCUAUAGAGAUGAAUAUGCUUGCAGUGAUGGGUGGGAAAACACCCAAAGACACCAUCAAGCGUAUAAUGGGGAGGCUAUUGAGCAAAUCCUUGGCUUUGCAAUUGAAUUGGACAGGUCAAGGGGGAAAGGUGUCUUUCAAGACACUACAAAUGAAAACGGUGUUGCACAGAGCUGGACGCAAGAAUCCACCAACCCCGGGAUGUCAGAGAAGACAUCAUUCAGAAGGAG